rnacentral:rRNA from 1 species
UACGGAGGGGGCUAGCGUUAUCCGGAAUUAUUGGGCGUAAAGCGUGCGUAGGCGGCUAUUCAAGUCAGAGGUGAAAGCCCGGGGCUCAACCCCGGAACGGCCUUUGAAACUAGGUAGCUAGAAUCUUGGAGAGGUUAGUGGAAUUCCGAGUGUAGAGGUGAAAUUCGUAGAUAUUCGGAAGAACACCAGUGGCGAAGGCGACUAACUGGACAAGUAUUGACGCUGCGGUACGAAAGCGUGGGGAGCAAACAGG